rnacentral:misc_RNA from 1 species
AAGUCGUAACAAGGUCUCCGUUGGUGAACCAGCGGAGGGAUCAUUAUAGAGUUUUCUAAACUCCCAAACCCAUGUGAACUUACCAUUGUUGCCUCGGCAGAGCCUACCCGGUACCUACCCUGUAGCUACCCAGGAACGGGCUACCCUGUAACGUCCUGCCGGUGGACUUCUAAACUCUUGUUAUUUAUAGUAAUCUGAGCGUCUUAUUUUAAUAAGUCAAAACUUUCAACAACGGAUCUCUUGGUUCUG